GCUGAAGCGUGGCGUAGUGGUUUGAGUGUUGGACUACAACUCGAGACCAGAGUUCGAUUCCCAGCUCAGCC